AUGCCGCCAUGGUUCCAGAUUGGGCGCAGGUCGCCGUCGUGCGAGAGCAGGGCAGCGGGGUUUUCGCGGAGGAGUGGAGGGGGAGGAUGCGGACGACAGGGCGAAGGAGGUGGCUGGCGAGGAGGACAAGAAGCAGGGGGGAGGAGAAGGGGGAUGCCUCGCACACCAUCCUCCUCCCCGCGGCGGUUGGCUGGUCGACUCGUCGCGCCACCGCGUCCUCACCUCCUCUGCACCAUAGGAGGCGCUGCCUCUGCCUCCAUCCCUGCUUCGUGCUUCCUCCGUCCUUGGCACCACAGCUGCCGGUCCACUCCCUCCUCCUCCAUCCUCACUCCCUUGUCAGCCACCGUCGCACGAACCUCCCUCGUCUGGGCCGGGAAAGAAGGCCAUGGCGAAUCUUGCGCCUCUAGAAGCAGCAGCAGGGGUUGGUGGAGCGUCUAA
rnacentral:rRNA from 1 species